rnacentral:rRNA from 1 species
UGAGGAAUAUUGGUCAAUGGACGAGAGUCUGAACCAGCCAAGUAGCGUGCAGGAUGACGGCCCUAUGGGUUGUAAACUGCUUUUGUUUGGGAAUAAUCGACAUUACGUGUAAUGUUUUGCAUGUACCAUUCGAAUAAGGACCGGCUAAUUCCGUGCCAGCAGCCGCGGUAAUACGGAAGGUCCAGGCGUUAUCCGGAUUUAUUGGGUUUAAAGGGAGUGUAGGCGGUUGGUUAAGCGUGUUGUGAAAUGUAGAUGCUCAACAUCUGACUUGCGGCGCGAACUGGCUGACUUGAGUACACACAACGUAGGCGGAAUUCAUGGUGUAGCGGUGAAAUGCUUAGAUAUCAUGAAGAACUCCGAUUGCGAAGGCAGCUUACGGGAGUGUUACUGACGCUUAAGCUCGAAGGUGCGGGUAUCGAACAGG